CUUUUAGCCGGCACACUUUGCAGGGGUUGGUUGUACGUAGCUUGGGGUAUGAGCAUUGUGGCAUCACGGGACAUUGUUUCAGCCUGCGACUUGAGGGUUAUGAGCUGGGGAAGAGACAGUUAAAGCUUCCACGCACCAGCAAGAUGAGUUGUACCACACAGCGCCCAUGCCAAGGUCAGCAGUCUGAAUGGAGCUGAGACACUUACUGCCCGUGCCAAGCAGUGCCAAGCACCUCUGGAAGCCCCUGCCUAGGACCCCCAAAUUUAGAUUCAUGCUGCAGUCUGGAGAGUGUUUUGACGGCUGCCGGGCUACAGGGAAAAGCGCACUGCACACUGCCUCUGAGAUGAGACAGAGCUCUCCAGGCUGGGAGUCUGGGGAAGCCGGACCUGGGUAGCGCUGCUCAGGGAAAAGCGGAGCCCUGUUCAGCAUUGGUCACCAGGUUGCAGGGGCAUCACUUCCUUUAUCCAGCAUCCUGCCUCUGCACCAUGUGAAGAAACCAACCCACUUUCCAAUGGCAAACCCAAGUUCAUGCAGACCAUAUUCUCCAACGUCUGUACUUCCCCUACCAGUUGGAUCUGUGUUCUUUUGCAGUUCUGGGGACUUUUCAAGACUCUACUGACUAAAUCUGCAAAGAGUGCCGAUAAUGCAACUCUUAAGCUGGCUUUCUGAGCUAUCAUGAUGUCUUUCCCUCUCUUUGUGCCCAAGACCGUGUGCUCUCUUGCCUUUGAAGAUCCAUGAUGUUUGAAACUCAUGAGACCCAAGGCAGAAGUGUCCAGACAACUAGGAGCUAAGUCAAGCUGCUUGCAUUCGCAAGCCAGGACUUGACUGGAGGGAAUACAAUAGAGGUGCAGACACUUCUGUGCUAACCUGUGAGUGCCUUUGGACCAUGAAAAUAAUGUGUCUGUGGGAAAGACAAUGGGUGGUUGCUUGUUGAUGCCUCCUGGGGUGCUGUUUGAUGAGCUCUGAAAUACGCACUCUGCUCACACACAGGGUCACAGAAGGCACGGGGAUCUUAAGUGCACUCGUUCUAGGGUCAUCAGUGAGCUGACACUAUGUGCAGAUGAGCCCCUCUGCUUCUCCUGGAAUCAUCAUUAGAUGGCCAGGAAGGAUCUCCGUGUUGGACUCCUCCAUUCUGAUACAUCCUGUCUUCAGGGAUAGAAAAUGUUCCUGGGGGAACACGGGAGCUAAAGAAACCUCAGCUUUUCUCGAGUGUCUGGAUUAUUCUGAACUACAUGGAUUAUGUUCAAGCCCAGGAUGAGUGGCUCAAAGCGUGGCUGUGAGUGAGUGAGACGAAGAAAAAUUGGGAUCAUAUUUUAUUCAACCAAGAGAAAUGGAAUCCAGCAUAGUAGAUUUCAUGUUCUUGGGAAAUAUGUCCUGUCAAUGGUGUUAUUGAGAAGAUAGGCAGAGAACACGUUCUCCCAGACAAGGAAGAGAAGAAGAUGUGGCCUUGGCUUUGUGAGCUGUGGCAGGGAGGGACCUAGCAUGGGAGCAAAGGUCUCUGGAAGCUUCCAGACAAACAAGUGUGGGUGUCGUUUGUCAGCUCCCUGAGAGUGGGUAUCGCAGAAGACUUCCUGUGUUUUCUGUGGAUAAAUACACAAAACUAUGCAUUACUGCAACACAAGCAGGCUUUAUACAUUUCUUUGGUUUUAACAAUUGCAUUAGAAACUUUGCUCUCCCCUGAAUCCUAAGAGGUGUGUUGUUGUCGUGGUUGUUUGUUUUUGCUUUUUUUUUUUUUUUCAAAUAGAGACAAAUACAGGAGAGAAGGAAGCGCAUGGCCAUUGCCUGGUUCUCUAGUGCGUUGGGAAGAUGUGGCAAAUGGUCUCUAAAGGAUGGAGAGGUGACAGGUGUGCUCACUCAGGACCUUGAGGCCUCAGAGCCCAUCAGGGAGUCCCCCAGCCAUGGCUGGCUCUGCUUCCAUUCACUCAGUUGGCUGGGCUUCCCUCCACCCCUUCUCAGCAGCCGGUUAUUAAGUGGGGAAUAGUAACAAAAGCACAUCUCAGCCCUCGGGCAUUCUGCAUUGGUGGGCGUGGACGGAGGAAACCUCAGCCUAGCCAUUGUUAUGAAGCCCAGCAGCUGGCAGCUCUGGCCAGCUGCACCCGCUUCACAGGGGCUGCUCCCAAGCUGCUGCUGCUCUUCCAGCCUCAUUCAAGGCCAAGUGGGACCAUGUGCAUGCUUGUUGUCCCCUAGGUUUGUCAGGAAGUGGGAGGCCAUCUCAAGGGCAACAGCCUACCAGGUUAGACUUCAAUUUGCAUUCAAAAUGACUUGUCUCAAGGUCAGAUUUUCCGUGGACCAGACUUUAGUUUUUUUGUAUGUUUGGAUGUGUUGGCGAGCAUACGCUCAUGUCUGUGUAUGUGCGUGUGUGUAUGUGAGGGAGGAGGAGGAGGAGGAGGAGGAGGAGGAGGAGGAGGAGGAGGAAGGGAGUAAGCACUGAUUUAUUCCCAAGUCUGUCUUUGGGAAGGAUACUUUGUGGCUGAUACUGUCCCCUUGGGUUACUCUGUGAAUUAAUAUGCUUCAGGCACACACAUGCAUAAACGCCCCAUGCCCACCUCCAUCCUGACGUGAUAGAUGGCAGGCUCGACCUGGGGCCCAGAAGGUCACACUGUGUUAACGAAUGAAUCUUGACCGUUCUUUCACUAUAGCCGCCAGGAGCCCCACACCGCUCCUCAUUCCUUUCCAACGCAGCCUCCCCCAUCCUGAGCAGCAGCUUCCUUUGUUAAGGGCCCAGAGGGCAGCUGCUGACUCUAGGGCUGGAGGGAGGAAUAGAGGAAGAAGUCAGUACAGGCCUGACCAGGCCUAGUGGCUGGUUGCCAGCAAACAGCCCCCAACAAGCUCCGCUGUUCCCUAGGUAGAUUUUUUUUCAUGGAUGCCAUACAUUUAGAGAAGGGGGUAGAGUCUGAGAGUUAAUGGACCCCUCAUAGAUUGCAUACACAUUUUAAAAAUUAUCAACUGCGAAUAUCCUGUUAAAAGCCCACAUUGCAUUACUUGAAACAGGGAUCUGGUGUCCCGCAAUGUCACAGGGCUGCUGCAAGGGAGACAGGCUUUGUUAGCCUCCAUGUUUUCCCUCCUACAGCUGCCCUGUCCAGUCUCUGCUCUGCCUGACUCAGCUGGAGCACACUGGUGAAUUAUGCAUCACUGGGUGGGAGGGGAGAGGGGAAGGGGAGAGAGAGAGAGAGAGAGAGAGAGAGAGAGAGAGAGAGAGAGAGAGAGAGAGAGAGAGAGAGAGAGAGAGGCUGAACCUGUGGGGCUGUGUCUUUAGCAUGGGGAGCCCUGCAGGCUUGUUUGUGCCUCCCUCCUACCACCAUCCAAACAGCAGGCUAAGAUGGUGGGUCCUAUAGAAAUGGGAUGGCGAAACUACAACCACAUUAGAGAUGUAGUCCAGGCCAUUCUUGUUCCAUCUCCUCCUGGGAGCUCUGUCUGGUGGCCUCUCCAUAUGUGGGAGCAUUUUUUAAAAAUACAUUAAACGCUGUCAUUUGAAAUGAAGUGGGAUGUGCGGCUUCAUUCCUGGAAGUUUCAAGAAAAGCCCUUUUCUAGCUGUUUUCUUUUUUCCUUAUUUUUUAAUUUUUUAAUUUUUUUGCUUUUGGAAAGGCGAUGCCUUCGCCUCCAAAGCUGUGUUGGCUCUCCGAGCCAUGGUGGUGUUCUCUCCACUUCAAAAAUACACAGGGACAUGUGGAAGCAUUCUAAUUUUUUUUUUCAGAUCCCGAACCAUAUGCACCAAAUUUUCACAGACUUGAUCUCAAUGUAGAUAAAAGUGAGAACCCCCGAGGGGGACCAUGCUGUAGAAAUCCCUGCAUUGUAGACUCUAAUUUAAUCAUCCCUAGCCACAGAAUUUCUUUGCAUAAAUUACGGCCUCAAUGAUAACAUCGCUUUCACAAAAGGUGGCCUCUAAUCGAUUUGACUCUCCUGGAGAUGGCUGGGCUCUCCAAGCAGAGGAGUGAUGCACCGUUCCAGAGAGCUGUGGAUUGCACCCGGGGCUUCGGAGGCUGAGUGGCCCCUGAUGGCUGUUUGCUUAUUCAGCUGAUUUCACUUUUCACCUUGACAUUUGCAAACUGGUUUUUAUUUUCUGGGAAUAAAGGGUUAUUGGCAACUGCCUCCACUUGGGCACCCGGAGGAGGGGCAUCUAGUGGAUUACCUCAGAGUGGAAACUGAUGGUAGAAGCCUUUUUCAGCACACAUUCUUCUUCUGUCUCCUCCUCUCUUUUCUUCCAGCCAUUGGAAAACUUGAUUUUUUUUUUUACAUGUCAUUUUUAUGCUUUGGGGUAUGCUCAAAUAUGACCAAGAUCAAUAUCCACCAAGCUAUGAUGAACACUUUCUGGCCUCACUUUCUUCAAGUCUUUCUCUGGACCAUGAAGAAUGCUUCGAAAGCUUUGCUCUAGAAGGGAGACCAUCAGUCACUGUCUGCAUUGUGAUGACUGAGGGCACUCUGGAGGAUCCCUUUGAAAGAAAGUGUUGGGGGAGAUUCUCAUAGAAGUAGCUGGUCUCCAUUCUUGGAACUUUACCCCACCAAGGACUUGAGACAGAAGGAAUAUAGGGACUGACUGAGUAGUGCACCACUCUUGUCUUCAACAGGGUUCACUUGGAACAAAUCUUCAUUUUUACAUGUUCCCAACUGAAGGUUGCUUCCACUUUCAGAAUUCUGAAAGGAGGCUGAGCCUCACACACACACACACACACACACACACACACACACACACACACACGUGUAAAGAAGGAAUUACAUGUAUGCUGAAAAAUCCAUCAGGCACAAGCACACAGCUGGUAUUUAAUAAAGAUGGGAGACUGGAGUGAAAAUUUUGCAAGCUGUCACAGCCCUAUUCAUGAAAGCAAGGACUAGGCUGGGGAGGUGUUUCUGUGAGUAAGAGAGUUUCCUGAGUAAGCAGGAAGGUCAGGUUUCAGAUCCCCAAACCCACAUAAAACCUGGGUGUUGCUGCCCAUACCUAGAAACCCGGAAGGAGGGUCAGAAUGAUUGCUGGGGGGUUGCUGGCCAUCAUCCCUGCUGAAUGGCAGUGAGUGCUGGGUUCAAUCAAAGAUCCUCUCUCAAGGAAGUAGGCAGUUAGUGUAAAGCAGAACACCUGACAUUCCUCCUCAGCCUCUUUACGUCCGUGCAAGGGCUCAAGCACCUACACAGAUGUGUACAGGAAUAUGCUAAACACAUGGACUGCCAUGAUGAUAAACAAUGCAGUUUGUAACCCUGUUACUACAAUAACAUCAUUCCUGAUAAAACAUAACUAGGAAGAAAUGUAGAUAUUUAUUCUUGGGGCAAGAUAACUGGAGACAGGACAUGUAUGCGCGUAUAAGCAUAGACAAAUUGCAGGUGCAGGCUAUUUGAGGUUGCUAGCCUGCUGUCUACACUGUGUCUACACAGAGGGGCCAGAAGCCAAGAUGCUGAGAGUAAUGACACAGAGAGCCUCAGAUGCCAUUUGGAUAGUAAAGGAUUUUAUGCAAACUUUGCUUGUGUAUAAAUAGGAGGGUGCAGGACAGAGAGAGGUAAACAACCACAGUGAUAACUUAAAGGCCAACAGCAAAUGGUCCUCUCCCCAUUAUUCUCCCUUGAACACUGACUAUGACAUUAAGAGCUGGAUCUGUCCUUCUGUGUCCACAGUGUGUAACUUGAUGUAGAGAGGCUGAGAGCUCUUUCCUGGGAAAACUUGUCAAGGUGGGAGCCUUGCUUGAGUUGGAAGAAAGGCUAGAACAUUCUAGCAAUGGGUCUUAGCCCAACACUCUCCAAUUUUCUUUGUAUAUACUUCAUACUAUAUACAUUUUCCUAUUACUCUUUGCGUUAAGAAAGGUGAAUCUGCUGAGAUAAUCUUUGCUUGCACUUAGGCAUAGGAUGGAGUGUCCAUGGAGGCCACAGGAAAACACCAGAUGUUUUCUCAAGACAGCUUUCCACUAGAAUUUUAACGACAGAAUUUCUCAGUGAACUUAGAACUCAUGAACUUAACUAAGCUAUCUCAAUGAGCUCUAGGUACUCUCAUGUCCCUGUCCCCUGCCCCCCCGGUGCUGGAGUCAUAGACAAACAUUAGCGGCCCCAGCUUUUUACAGGGUACUAGGAACCAGAAUGCAGAGCCUCAGGCUUGUACCAUAGGCACUUUACCCACUGAGCCACAUCCCAUCCUGGAUGGGAGACUCUUCAUCUGUAGAGUUGCAAAGCUUCCUUACAGAACUAGAGCGAGGAAUGCUGUUUGGCAGGAAAAUCCUGCAGCACACACAGAAGCUUAAGAAACAGCAGCGAUUUCCUGUCCGGGGUGUGCACAGCAGCCUUCUGUGCCGCUGCUUUCACAACUGUGGAUUUAACGAUGUCAGAUUGAAAAUAUUCAGGGGAAAAAAAGUUCCUCUGUACUGAACACAUACAGAUCUGUUUCCCUUUGCCAGAGAAGCCCAGUGUAAGGCUCAUUUGCAGAGCUUUUACACAGCUUUAGGUGUGGUAAGCCGUGGAGAGAGAGUUUAAAGCACACGAGAGAAUGCGAUAGGUUACAUGCGAGUGUCACACCAUUUUAUAUAAGCACUUGAGCAUCUGCAGAUGUUGGCAUCUGUUGAGGUUCUGAGAACUAAUCCCCAGUGAAAACAGAAGGCAGACUGACUGUUACUUGGUGUCAUGCCUUUUCUAUUAUGUAAAGCAAGGAUAUUCUUCUGGAUUAAGCAUUAAAUGGCCAUAAUUGCAGCCGAUUUAAAAUACAGAUAAGACAACUUCUUAGCUUUACCACCAUUCAAUGUCUCAGACAAAUUAGACUCCCUGGGUCUUUCAUUGUAAACAGAGUGACAUUAGACAUAGCCCUGAAAUCCUCAGCAGAAUAUGGAAGCUACUUGAGCAGAGACUCUGGGUAGGGGGUGUGGGUUUUGAGAGAAUUGUAUGAAUUGAAAUCUUAACUCCUUUUUAUAUGUGGUUUGCCCUACAGGUGUGCGUAGGGGUUGGGAGGGGCAGAAGAGGCAGUGCCCUGCUCCUCGGUGCAGUGUGGCCAAGAAACCAGUUGUUCUGAUGCUGAGUCUGUUCUCGGGCUGUCCUCCUAGAGUGUGCCCCACCAGUUGUUCUGAUGCUGAGUCUGUUCUCAGGCUGUUCUAGAGUGUGCCCCCCCCCCAACCAGGCCUAUAAGCUACUAGGUCUCUACUACAUCUACAGGGAAGAGAGGGGAAGAAGUGAGGGCCCAAGCCCGGCUCUCCUCCCCCAAGCUAGCUCCUUCCCCUUGCCAUAGACCAGUUGUCUGUAUUGACUCUCCUAUGAUUCUGAAGUCCAUUCUAUAGAAAACAGGUCCUGGAGCAGGGGAGACCCUUUCAGCGUCACACUGUCAUAAGCACAAUCAGAUCAACUAGACAGCACAACCAGGCAGGCUGGAGAGAAGUGGAAGGAAGUGGAGUUCAGAGACUCCAGUAGAUUCUAAGUAAACUCAAAGGCUGAUUCCAGUGUGUGUGUGUGUGUGUGUGUGUGUGUGUGUGUGUGUGUGUAUGUGUGUGCACAUGUGUGUGUGCCUGUGCAUGAGUGUGCUCGUAUACCCUCAUGUGUCUGAUUGUGCAUGUGUAUGUGGAGACCAAAGAUUGAUAUCAGGUGUCUUUCUCCAUUGCUCACCUCCAUUAAUUUUGAGACAGGGUCUCUCAUUCAAUCUGGACUUUGUUGAUUUGUCUAGACUGCCUGGUCCAUGGGACUCAGGGACUCUCCUGUCUCUGUGGUCCCAGCACAGGGCUUUCAGGCAUAGGCUAUAUCAUAUCACUUUUUCUAUGAGUGCUAAGAAUGUACACUGUCAACUGCAUUAUCCCCCCCCCUACCCAGGUCUCCUCCCUAGCUCUCCAUUAGGAAAGACCAUGACAGCAUGACCCGGUGGGGUGACUAAAGGAAGCCUUGUCCUUUGGGAUCAGUGGAGGGAAGCAAGUUGUGCAGACAGCAGGAGCAGGCUGAUCAAAAGGCUGGGCCCAAGGACAACAAGAGACAAGCCAGGUAGACAGCAGCUGAGGUCUGGGCUUGAGAGUCAUUUCAACCAGAGUCUAUUGACCUGAGUGUCAGCUAGCUAAGCCAUAUAUCCACAGGGAAAUAAUAGCUCAGCCUUGUUGCUCUGGGCUGUGGGCAGGUCAAUAAUUACCACAGAAAGAGCUAAAGAGUCUGUGGAGGGAGAAACAUCCAAACACACAGUGGCAGUAUAAGAUCUUUUAGAAGUUGUGAGCUUGUUCUUUAACUUUUCUUUCUGAGCUCAUCCUACAGGGAAAAUAUCGACUUUCUACCUGCCCUGGGGCACAUUCAGCCCCAGCAUGACACCACACUGUCACUCUGAGUUUUUUUGGGGUCCAUGGUGAUUUCUGCAGAGAGGUAGCUUCAGACUCAACCCACCCCCUUUCCUUCUGCUUCUGAAAGACUCUAUAGCAGUCACCUUAGAGAUACCUGGGGAUGGGGCACCCUCUCAGAGGUGAAGGGGAGGGAAGAUGGGGGCAAGAACUCUGAGAGGGUACUGGGAGGGGGACAGCAUUUGGGAUGUAAAUAAAUAAAAUAAUUUAUUAAUUUUAAAAA
rnacentral:lncRNA from 1 species